AUUGAACGCUGGCGGCAGGCCUAACACAUGCAAGUCGAGCGGAGCGGCGGACGGGUACGUAAUGCCUAGGAAUCUGCCUGGUAGUGGGGGGUAACGUCCGGAAACGGGCGCUAAUAGCGCAUACUUUCAGUUUAGCCCAGAGGGGAUUAGCUUGUGGGUGGGGUAACGGCUCACCAAGGUGACGAUCCCUAGCUGGGCUGAGAGGAUGACUAGCCAAACUGGAACUGAGACACGGUCCAGACUCCUACGGGAGGCAGCAGUGGGGAACAUUGCAAAAUGGGCGCAAGCCUGAUGCAGCCAGGCCGCGUGUAUGAAGAAGGCCUUCGGGUUGUAAAGUACUUUCAGCGGGGAGGCGUUACCCGCAGAAGAAGCCCCGGCUAACUCCGUGCCAGCCGCCGCGGUAAUAC
rnacentral:rRNA from 1 species